GACGAACGCUGGCGGCGUGCCUAAUACAUGCAAGUCGAACGGAGUGGCGAACGGGUAAGUAACACGUGGGUGACCUGCCCUGCACUUCGGGAUAAGCCUGGGAACCUGGGUCUAAUACCGGAUAUUGUGGGAUGGGCGCGCGGCCUAUCAGCUUGUUGGUUGGGUAAUUGCCUACCAAGGCGGCGACGGGUAGCCGGCCUGAGAGGGUUGACGGCCACAUUGGGACUGGGACACGGCCCAGACUCCUACGGGAGGCAGCAGUGGGGAAUAUUGCACAAUGGGCGGAAGGCUGAUGCAGCGACGCCGCGUGGGUGAUGACGGCCUUCGGGUUGUAAACUCCUUUCACCAUCGACGCGGUAGAUGGAGAAGAAGCACCGGCUAACUACGUGCCAGCAGCCGCGGUAAUUC
rnacentral:rRNA from 1 species